AUGGCAAGAAGUCUCUUGAAGACAUGGACCAUCUCUGUGUGUAAGGACAAAAUUGCUAAAUCAAGUGGGAUUGUCACUAUAUAAUACAUCCCAUGGCUUCCAUGAGGAAGAAGUGAAAAAAAAAAACUUCAGCAGUUUCCUGGUGGAUCCAUUGACCUUCAGAAGAAAGACAAUGGCAUUGGCAUUCUUACUCUGAACAAUCCAAGUAAAAAGAAUGCCUUCUCAGGUGUUAUGAUGCUGCAACUUCUGGAAAAAGUGAUUGAAUUAGAAAAUUGGACAGAGGGGAAAGGCGUUAUUGUCCGAGGGGCAAAAAAUACUUUCUGUUCAGGAUCUGAUCUGAAUGCAGUGAAAGGACUGGGAACUUCAGAGGAUGGACUGGCCUUAUGUAUGUUCAUGCAGAAUACCUUAACAAGAUUUCUGAGACUUCCUUUAAUAAGUGUUGCACUGGUUCAAGGUCGGGCAUUGGGUGGAGGAGCAGAACUUACUACAGCAUGUGAUUUCAGGUUAAUGACACCAGAGAGUGAGAUCAGAUUUGUCCAUAAGGAGAUGGGUAUAAUACCAAGCUGGGGUGGCACUACCCGGCUGGUUGAAAUAAUUGGCAGUAGACAAGCUCUCAAAGUGUUGAGUGGGGCCCUCAAACUGGAUUCAAGAAAAGCUCUAAACAUAGGAAUGGUCGAAGAUGUCUUGCAAUCUUCAGAUGAAACUAAAUCUCUAGAAGAGGCUCAAGAGUGGCUACAGCAAUUGGUCCAAGGGCCACCAGAAGUAAUUAGAGCUUUGAAAAAAAUCUGUUUGUUCAGGCAAAGAGCUAUAUUUAGAGGAGGCAUUACAGAAUGAAAGAGAUCUUUUAGGAGCACUUUGGGGUGGACCUAUAAAUUUAGAGGCUGUUGCUAAGAAAGGAAAAUUUAAUAAAUAG